CCUACGGGAGGCAGCAGUGAGGAAUAUUGGUCAAUGGGCGCGAGCCUGAACCAGCCAAGUAGCGUGAAGGAUGACUGCCCUACGGGUUGUAAACUUCUUUUAUAAAGGAAUAAAGUGAGGCACGUGUGCCUUUUUGUAUGAACUUUAUGAAUAAGGAUCGGCUAACUCCGUGCCAGCAGCCGCGGUAAUACGGAGGAUCCGAGCGUUAUCCGGAUGUAUUGGGUUUAAAGGGGGCGUAGGUGGAUUGUGAAGUCAGUUGUGAAAGUUUGGGGCUCAACCGUAAAAUUGCAGUUGAAACUGGCAGUCUGGAGUACAGUAGAGGUGGGCGGAAUUCGUGGUGUAGCGGUGAAAUGCUUAGAUAUCACGAAGAACUCCGAUUGCGAAGGCAGCUCGCUGGACUGCAACUGACACUGAGGCUCGAAAGUGUGGGUAUCAAACAGGAUUAGAUACCCUUGUAGUC
rnacentral:rRNA from 1 species